rnacentral:rRNA from 1 species
UACGGGGGGGGCAAGCGUUGUUCGGAAUUACUGGGCGUAAAGGGCGUGUAGGCGGGAAGGAAAGUCAGAUGUGAAAUCCCUGGGCUCAACCCAGGAACUGCAUUUGAAACUCCCUUUCUUGAGUGUCGGAGAGGAAAGCGGAAUUCCUGGUGUAGAGGUGAAAUUCGUAGAUAUCAGGAGGAACACCGGUGGCGAAGGCGGCUUUCUGGACGACAACUGACGCUGAGACGCGAAAGCGUGGGGAGCAAACAGG